rnacentral:rRNA from 1 species
GCGCGAAAACUUUGCACUGUGCGAAAGCACGACAAGGGAAUCCCAAGUGCUGGCUCGUAAGAGUCAGCUGUUUCUCUGUCUAAAAAACAGAGAGAGUAAGGGCUGGGUAAGACGGGUGCCAGCCGCCGCGGUAAUACCUGCAGCCCAAGUGGUGGCCGUUAUUAUUGGGCCUAAAACGUCCGUAGCCGGUUCUAUAAAUGCCUGGGUAAAUCGUACGGCUUAACCGUACGAAUUCCGGGUAGACUGUUCAACUUGGGACCGGGAGAGGCUAGAGGUACUCCUGGGGUAGAGGUGAAAUUCUGUAAUCCUAGGGGGACCACCAGUGGCGAAGGCGUCUAGCUAGAACGGGUCUGACGGUGAGGGACGAAGCCCUGGGGCGCAAACGGGAUUAGAUACCCGGGUAGUCCCAGCUGUAAACGAUGCAGGCUAGGUGUUUGGACGGCCACGUGCCGUUCUAGUGCCGCAGGGAAGCUGUUAAGCCUGCCGCCUGGGGAUACGAUCGCAAGAUUGAAACUUAAAGGAAUUGGGCGGGGGAGCACCACAAGGGGGUG